ensembl:lncRNA
GCCCCUAUCUAUGUGCCACAAGCAAGAUCCAGCACAGCCAAAUUAAUAAAUUUUAAACAAAGAAUGGGCGAUAUUCCAGAAUGCUGUUUAGAACACAGUACAGCUCUCUUGCUUGGAAACCAGUCAAGGUGUUUCGGAGUUACAAACGAGUUAGCUUUCCAAAGCUUCUAUGUUUGGUCUUCUGACUCAUCAUGCUGGAAACUUUAGUUAUUAUAUAUCUACAUUUUUCCUAAAGUGAUGUCACGCAAGUGUAUGUUCCUCGGCUCUUUGUCUCGUCACAACAAAGAUUUGGAGUGACGGACAUUAAAGCCCCCUUGGCAUGUCACAGCUCUCAGGUCUUGGAUAGACCGUGAGCUCUCAGGUCUUGGAUAGACUGUGUUAUAGGUCUCAGGUCUCGAAUGGAUUGUGUUAUAGCUCUUAGACAAAUCAGUGUUACGGCUCAGUGUUACAGCUCUAUUUUAUUUAGAAGAUAGCAGGAAAAUCCACCUUCGAGGCGUGAGGGCACGUCAAUCCAAAGACACGAGGAGAAGAGCACCCCAGCGCGCGGGGGAGAGAGAGAAAGAGAGCGAGCUAGCUUUGGCUCCUCUCUUUAUAUGUUUUUCUCUCCCUGGGCCUGUCCUGUGUAAAUUGGGCCAGCCAGGAGCAUUGUUUGUUUUACCUGAGGUCCUUACUCCGGUCCUCAGACCUUCUUUUGUUCUAUUUUCGCAGGCUUUUCCCUUCCUUGUCUUUAAGCCACCACCAUUUUGGGCUCCUUUUCCCUACUCUACCUAACAGUUUGAAUGACUUCCCAAGUAGAACUUUGUUAUUGAUGAAUGUCACUGGUCGUCUUCGCUUUCCCGUAACCACAAGCUGAGGAUCUCAUUACUCAAAACUGGGAAGUUUGUUCUUAUCAUUUAGCAGUGACUGGUUAACCAAGUCCAGAUUUAAAAUGGGGGCUUGGGGUGGGGGGAGGUGUAAACAAUAAAAGGAUGAAAACUGGAACCCAAGAAGAGAUAAAUCACAAAUAGUUUGUUUCAGUAGAGACUGUUAAAGUCUCUGAGCACAAGGGGUCAC